rnacentral:misc_RNA from 1 species
AUGUCUCUCCCCACCAAACGCUCUGCCACCGCCACCACCUCUAGCUCCUCCGCCAGCGCCACAGCUAAUUUUCCUCCCAUGAAGAAGGCCAAGUCCCAAGCUGUCUCUGCUUGCUCACCGCUUGACCCUUCCUGUAACAAAAACGGCAUCCACCACUUCAGCUCCGCCGCUACGGCCGAUAACGACGUCGUAUUCGACCCCUC